rnacentral:rRNA from 23 species
UAACGUUCGGAAACGGACGCUAAUACCGCAUACGUCCUACGGGAGAAAGCAGGGGACCUUCGGGCCUUGCGCUAUCAGAUGAGCCUAGGUCGGAUUAGCUAGUUGGUGAGGUAAUGGCUCACCAAGGCGACGAUCCGUAACUGGUCUGAGAGGAUGAUCAGUCACACUGGAACUGAGACACGGUCCAGACUCCUACGGGAGGCAGCAGUGGGGAAUAUUGGACAAUGGGCGAAAGCCUGAUCCAGCCAUGCCGCGUGUGUGAAGAAGGUCUUCGGAUUGUAAAGCACUUUAAGUUGGGAGGAAGGGCAUUAACCUAAUACGUUAGUGUUUUGACGUUACCGACAGAAUAAGCACCGGCUAACUCUGUGCCAGCAGCCGCGGUAAUACAGAGGGUGCAAGCGUUAAUCGGAAUUACUGGGCGUAAAGCGCGCGUAGGUGGUUUGUUAAGUUGGAUGUGAAAUCCCCGGGCUCAACCUGGGAACUGCAUUCAAAACUGACUGACUAGAGUAUGGUAGAGGGUGGUGGAAUUUCCUGUGUAGCGGUGAAAUGCGUAGAUAUAGGAAGGAAC